rnacentral:rRNA from 1 species
ACGGAGGGUGCAAGCGUUAAUCGGAAUCACUGGGCGUAAAGCGCUCGUAGGCGGUUUGGCCAGUCCGAUGUGAAAGCUCUCGGCUUAACAAGAACACUGCAUUUGAUACUGCCAGACUGGAGUGUCGGAGAGGGUGGCGGAAUUCCGGGUGUAGGAGUGAAAUCCGUAGAUAUCCGGAGGGACACCAGUGGCGAAGGCGGCCACCUGGACGACAACUGACGCUGAGGAGCGAAAGCGUGGGGAGCAAACAG